AGCGAACGCUGGCGGCAGGCCUAACACAUGCAAGUCGAACGGACCCUUCGGGGUUAGUGGCGGACGGGUGAGUAACACGUGGGAACGUGCCUUUAGGUUCGGAAUAGCUCCUGGAAACGGGUGGUAAUGCCGAAUGUGCCCUUCGGGGGAAAGAUUUAUCGCCUUUAGAGCGGCCCGCGUCUGAUUAGCUAGUUGGUGAGGUAAAGGCUCACCAAGGCGACGAUCAGUAGCUGGUCUGAGAGGAUGACCAGCCACAUUGGGACUGAGACACGGCCCAAACUCCUACGGGAGGCAGCAGUGGGGAAUCUUGCGCAAUGGGCGAAAGCCUGACGCAGCCAUGCCGCGUGAAUGAUAAAGGUCUUAGGAUUGUAAAAUUCUUUCACCGGGGACGAUAAUGACGGUACCCGGAGAAGAAGCCCCGGCUAACUUCGUGCCAGCCGCCGCUGUAAAAC
rnacentral:rRNA from 1 species